CGUACACUCCUGCGGGAGGCAGCAGUGGGGAAUAUUGGACAAUGGGCGCAAGCCUGAUCCAGCCAUGCCGCGUGAGUGAUGAAGGCCCUAGGGUUGUAAAGCUCUUUCACCGGUGAAGAUAAUGACGGUAACCGGAGAAGAAGCCCCGGCUAACUUCGUGCCAGCAGCCGCGGUAAUACGAAGGGGGCUAGCGUUGUUCGGAUUUACUGGGCGUAAAGCGCACGUAGGCGGACUAUUAAGUCAGGGGUGAAAUCCCGGGGCUCAACCCCGGAACUGCCUUUGAUACUGGUAGUCUUGAGUUCGAGAGAGGUGAGUGGAAUUCCGAGUGUAGAGGUGAAAUUCGUAGAUAUUCGGAGGAACACCAGUGGCGAAGGCGGCUCACUGGCUCGAUACUGACGCUGAGGUGCGAAAGCGUGGGGAACAAACAGGAUUAGAUACCCGAGUAGUCCAUGA
rnacentral:rRNA from 1 species